rnacentral:rRNA from 1 species
AACGAACGCUGGCGGCAUGCCUAACACAUGCAAGUCGAACGAGCCCUUCAGGUCUAGUGGCCCACGGGUUCGUAACGCGAGGGAACCUGCACUUAGGUUCGGAAUAACUCCCCGAAAGGGGUAACAAUACCGGAUAAUGUCUUCGGACGAAAGAUUUAUUGCCUUUGUAUGGGCGCUCGUUGGAUUAGCUAGUUGGUAGGGUUAAAGCCUACUACGGCGACCAUCCAUAGCUGGUCUGAGAGGAUGAUCAGCCACACUGGGACGGAGACCCGGCCCAGACUCCUACGGGAGGCAGCAGUGGGGAAUAUUGGACAACGGGCGAAAUCCUGAUCCAGCAAUGCCGCGUGAGUGAUGUAGGUCUUAGGGUUGUAAAGCUCUUUUACCCGGGAUGAUAAUGACAGUACCGGGAGAAUAAGCUCCGGCUAACUCCGUG